GGUUAUCAAGAUCAACUGUCGUGGUAUCACAGUGCUUGUGUUUGAGCAGCCCUUAUUUUACUUAAUAAUGGCCCCAAAAUGUAAGAGAAGUGAUGCUGGCAAUUUGGAUAUCCCAAAGAGAAGCUGAAAAGUGCUUCCUUGAAGUGAAAAAUUGAAGUCUGAGAUGAGGGUGCCAGCACAGUCGAGAGUCUUCUGGAUUGCAGACAUUGUAUCCUCACUUGGCGGAAGAGUGGCUUUUAAAAGGGGGCGAAGGAACUAUUCCAGAUUAAGAGACUGUGAAGACAUAAGAACCAUGGAGCACAUGGAUGCACUUUGGAUCUAGAAUUGGACAAGUCAUUUUCUACACACCUGGGCAAACUUGAUUAUGCACUAGAUACUAGAGGCUUUCCAAGAGUGGAUGACCAUUUAUUAGGUGUGUAAUUACAUUGAGAUAAUGUAAGAAAUGUUUUAAAUGCCAUGUUUUCUAGGUGUAAAAGGGUGAAAUUUUAGGAGAUCUGGGGGUGAUCAUUUUGUAAGUCGUAUAAAUCCCUAAUCACUAUGUUGUACACCUGAAACUAAUGUAAUA